AUUGAACGCUGGCGGCAGGCCUAACACAUGCAAGUCGAGCGGAUGAAGGGAGCUUGCUCCUGGAUUCAGCGGCGGACGGGUGAGUAAUGCCUAGGAAUCUGCCUGGUAGUGGGGGAUAACGUCCGGAAACGGGCGCUAAUACCGCAUACGUCCUGAGGGAGAAAGUGGGGGAUCUUCGGACCUCACGCUAUCAGAUGAGCCUAGGUCGGAUUAGCUAGUUGGUGGGGUAAAGGCCUACCAAGGCGACGAUCCGUAACUGGUCUGAGAGGAUGAUCAGCCACACUGGGACUGAGACACGGUCCAGACUCCUACGAGAGGCAGCAGUGGGGAAUAUUGGACAAUGGGCGCAAGCCUGAUCCAGCCAUACCGCGUGGGUGAAGAAGGCCUCGGUU
rnacentral:rRNA from 1 species